AACGAACGCUGGCGGCAUGCCUAACACAUGCAAGUCGAACGAGACCUUCGGGUCUAGUGGCGAACGGGUGCGUAACGCGUGGGAACCUGCCCUUAGGUUCGGAAUAACUCCCCGAAAGGGGUGCUAAUACCGGAUAAUGUCUUCGGACCAAAGAUUUAUGGCCUUUGGAUGGGCCUCGGUUGGAUUAGCUAGUUGGUAGGGUAAAAGCCUACCAAGGCGACGAUCCAUAGCUGGUCUGAGAGGAUGAUCAGCCACACUGGGACUGAGACACGGCCCAGACUCCUACGGGAGGCAGCAGUGGGGAAUAUUGGACAAUGGGCGAAAGCCUGAUCCAGCAAUGCCGCGUGAGUGAUGAAGGCCUUAGGGUUGUAAAGCUCUUUUACCCGGGAUGAUAAUGACAGUACCGGGAGAAUAAGCUCCGGCUAACUCCGUG
rnacentral:rRNA from 1 species